rnacentral:tRNA from 1 species
GCAUCCUUAGCUCAAUUGGUAGAGCCCCUGUCUCCAAAACUGGGUGUGUUGCAUGUUCGAGUCGUGCAGGAUGUGCUUA